UCUGUUCUUCAGAGCAUAGCUUACAUUUAGAGAAAAAAGAGGAACACCUAAGAUCUGCUACUAACAGAUAAUUUUCUUUCCAGGUGUUCCUCUUUUUUCUCUAAAUGUAAGCUAUGCUCUGAAGAUGAUCU
rnacentral:pre_miRNA from 1 species